rnacentral:lncRNA from 1 species
GCCAUCUAGGCCAACUUAUACUCGAACUAAUUCAUUCUAUAGCAUCUCUUGCAAGUAAAUAUCCAGCCUCAGACUAAAGAACUCCAUUGAAGGGAAGCCCAUUUUCCCCCUCCUGAAGCAGCUGCAAAAUCUACUUUUAUGUAGUUACUAAUUAAAAAAAAAUUUUCCUGACAUUACUUUGCUUCUUUGGAACUCCUAUCCAUUGUUCCUUUUCUUCCUGGUUCUAUAUAGCCAUCUGGAAACAAAUCUAAUUUCUCUUCCAUACAAAAGCUCUUCAGAUAGUUGAGGUUGCCAUUACUCCAGUUUCUAACUCUACCCCUCUUCCUCCAAUCCCCAGUCUUCUCUUUUCUAGGCUAAACACCUAUGAUUCCUUCAACUGAUGCUUAAAUGGCAGGGACCCAAUGGCUAUCAUUGUUCUUGUUGCCUUUCUUGAUCCUUUCCAGCUUAUCAGCGUCUUUUAUUAAACUGUGAUUCAGAACAGAAGAUUCCUCCUCCUUUGGUUUGACCUCGACAAAUCUUAAUAUUUUAUUUAUUAAAAGCUUUAAAAAAACAAAAUGCAUAUUGUAGGAUUUCUUAUACUUAUGUUGCUUGACUUAUUUUCUUUGGAAUAGAUAUGUAGGAAAAUAAUGUGAAUGAGAGAUCAAGUUCUGUGUCCAGGAAGCUCUCAUUUUGAACAUUUUAAUUCCAGAUCAUGCUACAUGCAGAACAAGGGAAAUAUAUGCAGAGCAGUAGGAGAACAUUAGACGACACGUUUUUGCUGAAAGUGUUCUAUAUGGAAAACGAGGGUCAGAAAAUUGAAGUGACUUAUCCAAGAUAAACAAGAGGCAGAGCCUGGUCUUGAAGAAAGAAAUGGCAAACUACUCCACAUCUUUGCUAAGAAAAUCCCAUACAAAAUCAG